rnacentral:rRNA from 1 species
UACGUAGGGGGCAAGCGUUGUCCGGAAUCAUUGGGCGUAAAGCGCGUGUAGGCGGCCUUGUAAGUCCGUUCUGAAAGUCCUGGGCUCAACCCCGGGAGGCGGAUGGAUACUGCAAGGCUCGAGUACGGAAGAGGCGAGUGGAAUUCCCGGUGUAGCGGUGAAAUGCGCAGAUAUCGGGAGGAACACCAAUGGCGAAGGCAGCUCGCUGGGACGUUACUGACGCUGAGACGCGAAAGCGUGGGGAGCAAACAGG